UACGUAGGAUCCAAGCGUUGUCCGGAUUUACUGGGUGUAAAGGGUGCGCAGGCGGACUGGUUAGUCAGGGGUGAAAUCCCGUCGCUUAACGACGGACCUGCCUUUGAUACUGCCAGUCUUGAAUUAGGGAGAGGUUCGUGGAAUUCCGAGUGUAGCAGUGAAAUGUGUAGAUAUUCGGAAGAACACCAGUGGCGAAGGCGAGUCCCUGGACAACACCUGACACUGAGGCACGAAAGCUAGGGGAGCAAACAGG
rnacentral:rRNA from 1 species